CUGGGGGCCCGCUGUGCAUGCUGGGAGCUGCUCACAUCUCACUGGCUGCACAAACUCGCUCAUGACACAGUCACUCAUGACAUAAAGUCACUCAUGACACAGACAUGGCAAAGUCUACUCGCCAGCAAGUGGCCCCAGGGCCCAGGCUUUAGCCCCAGUGUAUAGAUGUAUGUGCAGAGUAAAAGUAAUGGCACCCUGAGGAAAGGUGAAUUCAGAGGGAGACGCUUAGGAUUUGUGUGUCUUUAUUGAGGCAACACUUUAUAUCACAGCUGUCCGGCCUAUUUCAGCCAUUGCACUACAAACCUCUGCAUUGUGGGGGGUCCUGGGAGUUGUAGGGACUGUUAGGAGUUGAUGCAGGGAGUUUUUUUUGGAGCUGCUGCUGAGGGACUGCUUUGCUUUGAUACAUGUGCAGGGAGUUGCCUUGUGUCUGAAACUAUGGGAGGUGAAGUUAGACAGGUAUCAGCCGCUGCAUUCCCAGAUGCUUAUCUCUCUCUCAGAUUCUUCACCUCUUAGUAUCUCUCACUGCUCUGUGGAUUCUAGUGUAGUGGAUACAUGGCUCUGCUUACUGGGAGCCAGGGUAAAAUCACCUCUGCAUCUCUCCAGCUGUUACUUAAACUAAAACUCCCUGCAUGCCUGAGAAAUGCUGUGAAUCAAUGGCAGAUUAAUGACCCCCCCAUCAUGUUUGUUGCUGUGUCAUUACCUGCUCUAGAAAGGCAUAACCUGGGGGCACACGUUUAUCCACCCCCCAUCCAUCUAGACCAAUCUCUAGAAAGGCUUAACUGAGGGCCAAUCCUUCUACCCAGCCACAUUCAUCUCUAGAAUGCAAGAGAGCCAUCCCAGCAUUGCACAAUCUGCUUAACCAGCUGCCUCACCUUUUGCCCAGCUCAGGCAGACUAUGCUUUAGACAAGGGUGUACUACAGGUCCCCCAUCAAUAUGAAUCCUCCAUCAAAAUGAAUAGAUCUGAAUCCUGCAUCAUUAUGAAUCCCCCAUAAAUAUAAAUCAAUAUGAAUAGAUCUGAAUCCCCCAUCAAUAUGAAUCCCCUAUUACUAUGAAUCAAUAUGAAUCCCCCCAUCGAUAUAAAUUCCCCAUCAAUAUGAAUCCCCCAUCAAUAUGAAUCGAUAUGAAUCCUCCCAUCAAUAUGAAUCCCUCAUCAACAUUAAUAGAUCUGAAUCCCCCAUCAAUGUGAAUCCCCCAUCAAUAUGAAUCCCCCAUUACUAUGAAUCGAUAUGUAUCCCCCCAUCAAUAUGAAUCCCCCAUCAAUAUGAAUCGAUAUGAAUCCCCCAUCAAUAUGAAUCGAUAUGAAUCCCCCAUCAAUAGGAAUCCCCCAUCAAUAUGAAUCGAUAUGAAUCCCCCAUCGAUAUGAAUCCCCAAUCAAUAUGAAUCGUUAUGAAUCCCCCAUUACUAUAAAUCGAUAUGAAUCCCCCAUCAAUAUGAAUCUAUAUAAAUACCCCAUCAAUAUGAAUCGAUAUGAAUCCCCCAUAGAUAUGAAUCCCCCAUCAAUAUGAAUCAAUAUGAAUCCCCCAUCAAUAUGAAUUGAUAUGAAUCCCCCCAUCAAACAUGAAUUAAUAUGAAUCCCCAUCAAAAUGAAUCCCCCCUUCCUUCUGAACAGGAAGUUACUGGUACUAUCCUAAAUGGUUCCCCUACUGUUUCUGACCGCAGCUCAAUUCUGAUCGCAUGAUGAAGAACUCUUGGGGCUCUGCCCCCCCACCCCCUCCACACACACAAAGGAUGCUGGGAAUUGUAGUUUCCCAUCUGGAGGUCCAUAGGAUAAUAUGGGCCAUCGACAGGCACCCAGAUGCUGCACUUCCCAGCUGGAUUGCAAUGGGAGCUUUUUCUAUAUUUAUGACCCAGGGCAUUGAAUUCCUUGCUGCUUCCCAGACAGGCCUGUAUUCCUGGAAUAGUGGAAAUUCUUUGCUCAUAAAUUGCCCUAGCCAUUGUGGCUCAGAGGUCUUGCCCUAUAGGCUCUCAGCGGGGCUUGUGGAAUGCGGUUACCAUGGUGCUCGGUUACCAUGGUGCUCGGCUGGGUCCCCCCUUUUAUUUAGGGAAAAAAACCAUCAAAACUGCAUUUUUUACUCCUUUCUUUGGGGGGGGGGGUGUUCUCUUGCUUUUGCCAUCUAAUUAACUCAGACACUGCCAGAAACAUUCUGAUCCAAUCAGAGAAAUGACAGUUUGUGUUCAUGCUCGUUUUAUUCCUGCACUUUUAUAUCUAAUGAAACCUUAGUGGGUGCUUUAGAUUUCCCUCCAAGUCCCUGUUAUUCCAUGUUCCAGAGCAGCAGGGAGUGGUGUGGAACAUGCCAAGUAUUUGCCCUAAGGAAAUGCCCAGGAUUAAUGCCCCACCCCACAUUCCUUGUGUGUCUCUGGCACUUUGUAUAACAACAUCACAGAAGCCCAAUUGCAAUGUAUUUACCAUACUGGGCAAAUAUUCCCACCUAAUAAUGUGCUUGAAGUCAGGACCCGCAGUGUUCAGAAUAGGCGGCACCAUGAUUGGGCUAGAAACCUUCAUGAUUUUGUUCCUUGAUUGCCUGCUUGGCUAGUUAUAGAGCACUUACCCUUCUUAACUCCCAGCCUGCAACACAAGUAAACCCGCCUCCCUGGUGUUGGCAUUAGAAAGCCAGAGACUAGAGGCGACACAUAUAUUUAUUUUUUCAUGGUUAGAGGUUUCCUAAUUGUAGUGUUGGGGGGGGGUGUAUCAAUGUAUCAGUCUGCAGUGACUCAUGAACUCAUGCUUUGCACCCCCUGCAGUUAAUGAGCCACAAAGCUGAGUGAGUGAGUCACAUAACUGGCAGUUGCAGUACCUGACUGUGUGUCUUGAAUCAAAUUCGAUUCGAGUUUUAAAAACUCAGAAAAUGUCAGGAAGGCUACAAACAACUCCAAAUGACUAAUUCCCAUUGACUAAAACAGCAAUUCGGCAGGUGUUAGUUGGCGAAUAAACGGCCAGUGUAUGAUCAAUCUAAUUCGAAAUUUUUUUAAAAAAAAACUGGUAUCGAAUUUGAACGAUUCCCUAGUCAAAUUUGACUGUUUUGGCCAUAAAAAAAAAAAAAACUCGAAAAUCCAAAUUUUCAAUUCGACCCUUAAUAAAUCUGCCCCUUGGUGUAUACGCUCCUAACCUGUUCCCAU